rnacentral:lncRNA from 1 species
AGCUUUUCGACAAAACGACGAAAGAUAAUAGCUGAUGUUGAAUAUUGCCUAAAAGAUCUAACCAUUAAAUCAAGCAAUAUUUCACAUUCACCAGAAGAAGUACAAUCAUUGUAUUUAAAAAGUAUAUCAGAUCGAAAACUUUCAACUGAGAGUGUUAUUCCCUCAGGUGCAAAUAAUAUUGAUUGUGAAGUGAACUCUGACAGUAAUCUAUUGAUAUUAAAUAUUGGCAUUAGACAAGAUAAUAGCUGUGGCAAGUAAAGGAGGCCAGACUUUAAAGGAGGCUGUCCAGAGAAUGUCUUUUGCGUUAUUCACUAAUAACCUCUGCUGUAAACUUAACUGGUCUGGUAUUACUAUAAAUGACAAUGAAAGUAACUUUGUAAAACAAAGACUUACACUUGCUUAAAAGAGCUGUAAAAAGAAAUCCUGCAACAACUUCAGCAACUGAAUCAGAUUUUCAAUAUGAGGUUGUGCGUUUUUUGCGUGGUGCAUCAGACCGCAAUGGCGGAAAAAAAGUUAGACAAGACCAAAAAAACAAACAAGCCAAGAAAAAAGUAAUGCCUACAUCAAGUUUUCCAAUGCCAUUAAAUAAAGAGUAACCUUUUGUAUAUGAGAUUGUAGAUGAAAAUUUAAAUCGUGAUAUUGAAUUAUACCAGAGAAUAAAGAAACCGUUUACCUCAACCAAAGUUAUAUUUCAUAGAAUUAUGUUGACCAUGAUCCAAAUAUUGCCAUGGAUGUGCACUUGUGUCUUAGGCUUAUGCUUUGCAAAAGGUUCAACAUCGCCCUUAAGUUGCUGAGGGUUUUACGGUUUUACUUCCAACCUGGCAUAUAAAUGCACUUAGUAUCUGAAGUUAUUUGUCAAUAACUGGUGAUCAGACUAUUUCAAACGAAUACGUUUUUAAGGGCUGAGAAGGUGAAAAAUAGAAGUCUGCAGACUGCAACGUAAAUCAAUUUUCAACACAUGGUUUCCUGAAUAUAUUUAGUUUUCGAUUGAAAUGAGAAUAAACUGAACUUAUAGAUAUGUUGAAAAUUAACUAUUUUAUAUUUUAAACAUUCGCUAAACGCAAGUGAAGCAAUAAUCUAUAGAUGCAAUUAUACUUUAUAUUUUGUUUUAGUUUAAAAAAAAAUUAUUGUUACUUUUAUAUUCAUGUUGUAAUUGUAAAUUGCAAUCUUAAAAUGAUUUUUAUUAUA